ensembl:miRNA
ACUCUUCCCUCCCUCGGCCGGCGCUCUCGCGUUCGGCUGCCAGCCGGGACUGGGAGGAAG